rnacentral:rRNA from 1 species
GAUGAACGCUGGCGGCGUGCCUAAUACAUGCAAGUCGAGCGGACAGACGAGGAGCUUGCUCCUCUGACGUUAGCGGCGGACGGGUGAGUAACACGUGGAUAACCUACCUAUAAGACUGGGAUAACUUCGGGAAACCGGAGCUAAUACCGGAUAAUAUAUUGAACCGCAUGGUUCAAUAGUGAAAGACGGUUUUGCUGUCACUUAUAGAUGGAUCCGCGCCGCAUUAGCUAGUUGGUAAGGUAACGGCUUACCAAGGCAACGAUGCGUAGCCGACCUGAGAGGGUGAUCGGCCACACUGGAACUGAGACACGGUCCAGACUCCUACGGGAGGCAGCAGUAGGGAAUCUUCCGCAAUGGGCGAAAGCCUGACGGAGCAACGCCGCGUGAGUGAUGAAGGUCUUCGGAUCGUAAAACUCUGUUAUUAGGGAAGAACAAAUGUGUAAGUAACUAUGCACGUCCUGACGGUACCUAAUCAGAAAGCCACGGCUAACUACGUG